UCUCAUUGAAGCUUUCGCUACUAGAUGAGCCUGCGUAAGAUUAGCUUGUUGGUGAGGUAAAGGCUCACCAAGGCGACGAUCUUUAGCGGGUCUGAGAGGACGAUCCGCCACAUUGGGACUGAGACACGGCCCAGACUCCUACGGGAGGCAGCAGUGGGGAAUAUUGGACAAUGGGCGCAAGCCUGAUCCAGCCAUACCGCGUGUGUGAAGAAGGCCCUAGGGUUGUAAAGCACUUUAAGUUGGGAAGAAAAGUUAUUGGUUAAUACCCAAUAGCCGUGACAUUACCAUCAGAAUAAGGACCGGCUAAUUCCGUGCCAGCAGCCGCGGUAAUACGGAAGGUCCAAGCGUUAAUCGGAAUUACUGGGCGUAAAGCGCGCGUAGGUGGUUUAUUAAGUUGGAUGUGAAAUCCCCGGGCUCAACCUGGGAACUGCAUCCAAAACUGAUUCACUAGAGUACGAUAGAGGGAGGUAGAAUUCACAGUGUAGCGGUGGAAUGCGUAGAUAUUGUGAAGAAUACCAAUGGCGAAGGCAGCCUCCUGGAUCUGUACUGACACUGAGGUGCGAAAGCGUGGGUAGCGAACAGGAUUAGAUACCCUGGUAGUCCACGCCGUAAACGAUGUCAACUAGCUGUUGGGGAACUAUGUUCUUCAGUGGCGCAGCUAACGUAGUAAGUUGACCGCCUGGGGAGUACGGCCGCAAGGCUAAAACUCAAAUGAAUUGACGGGGACCCGCACAAGCGGUGGAGCAUGUGGUUUAAUUCGAUGCAACGCGAAAAACCUUACCUAUACUUGACAUACUUGGAAUGCUUUGUAAUGAAGCAGUGCCUUCGGGAGCCAAGAUACAGGUGCUGCAUGGCUGUCGUCAGCUCGUGUCGUGAGAUGUUCCGUUAAGUCGGAUAACGAGCGCAACCCUU
rnacentral:rRNA from 1 species